rnacentral:lncRNA from 1 species
GUUUCUUCAAAAUCAUAAAAUGGAAACGUAUACAGCUACUCUAUUCAAAUUGUUCCCAAUCCUCGGUCACUAUAGUAGAUGGCGGUCUAAGAGGUGGGGCGGCCAGGCUUCCAACCCCAAGCAUAGGUGUAGGAGGUGGUGGGGUGUUCAGUCCUCCAACCCCAAACACAGGUCUAGGAGGAGGUGAGGCGUUCAUGCUUCCAACCCCAAGCACAAGUGUAGGAGGUGGUUGGGUGUUCAGUCCUCCAACCCCAAAUGCAGGUCUAGGAGGAGGUGAGGCGUUCAUGCUUCCAACCCCAAGCACAAGUGUAGGAGGUGGUUGGGUGUUCAGUCCUCCAACCCCAAAUGCAGGUCUAGGAGGAGGUGAGGCGUUCAUGCUUCCAACCCCAAGCACAAGUGUAGGAGGUGGUUGGGUGUUCAGUCCUCCAACCCCAAAUGCAGGUCUAGGAGGAGGUGAGGCGUUCAUGCUUCCAACCCCAAGCACAAGUGUAGGAGGUGGUUGGGUGUUCAGUCCUCCAACCCCAAAUGCAGGUCUAGGAGGAGGUGAGGCGUUCAUGCUUCCAACCCCAAGCACAGGUCUAGGAGGAGAUGAGGUGUUCAUGCUUCCAACCUCAAGCACAGGUCUAGGUGGUGGUGGAGCGUUCAGGCUUCCAACCCCCGACUCAAAUGUCUCCCAUUGAGUAGUCACUGACACGGCAUUACUGUUGUUGAUAAAGGGAUUGGAAUUUCUUGCUUUUACUGCAUCCAUUGCCUCUACUAAGUUUUGGACACGACGAACCUGAAAAGGGGAGAAAAAACUUGACAUUAUAGUGCACUGAUCAUCAAUAUUUGCAAUCAUGUAAAAACCCAAUAGGGCACAAGCAGCAGUUUUCCUCUAGAAGCAAGUAUUGAAUGCAGCAGUUAACAACGCUCCACUUUUCUAAUCAUAUUCACAACAGAUAUCUCAAAUAUGAAGGAAAAGUUUCUAAACAUCAAAAGAUCAAUGUAGAAGGUUAUGAAGACAGCGAAAAUUACCAUUUUACAGUUAGUUUAGACCGUUAAUAAUUGAUAGAAAUGCAUUAGUUAUGCAAUUCGAAUCGGUUUGCCAAGGAAG